GAGUGAAGCGGCAAGAGCUCAAAUUUGAAAUCUGGCUCUUUCAGAGUCCGAGUUGUAAUUUGUAGAGGAUGCUUCGGCUUACGUUUCGGUCUAAGUUCCUUGGAACAGGACGUCACAGAGGGUGAGAAUCCCGUUUGUGGCCGAGACUUCCGCCAUGUGAAGCUCCUUCGACGAGUCGAGUUGUUUGGGAAUGCAGCUCUAAAUGGGAGGUAAAUUUCUUCUAAAGCUAAAUACCGGCCAGAGACCGAUAGCGCACAAGUAGAGUGAUCGAAAGAUGAAAAGCACUUUGGAAAGAGAGUUAAAAAGUACGUGAAAUUGUUGAAAGGGAAGCGCUUGCGACCAGACUUGCCCGCGGAUGCUCAACCGGUCCUUCGGCCGGUGCACUCUUCCGCGGUCAGGCCAGCAUCAGUUCGAGCGGUCGGAUAAAGGCCUUGGGAAUGUGGCUCUCUUCGGGGAGUGUUAUAGCCCUUGGUGUAAUACGGCCUGCUUGGACUGAGGCCCGCGCUUCGGCUAGGAUGCUGGCGUAAUGGUCGUAAGCGGCCCGUCUUGAAACACGGACCAAGGAGUCUAACAUCUAUGCGAGUGUUUGGGUGUCAAACCCGUACGCGAAAUGAAAGUAAACGGAGGUGGGAAUCUUCGGAUGCACCAUCGACCGAUCCUGAUGUCUUCGGAUGGAUUUGAGUAAGAGCAUAGCUGUUGGGACCCGAAAGAUGGUGAACUAUGCCUGAAUAGGGUGAAGCCAGAGGAAACUCUGGUGGAGGCUCGCAGCGGUUCUGACGUGCAAAUCGAUCGUCAAAUUUGGGUAUAGGGGCGAAAGAC
rnacentral:rRNA from 1 species